rnacentral:rRNA from 1 species
GGGUCAGUAGGUUGGUCGUGCCACUGGUACGUACUGGUCUCACUGAUUCCUCCUUCCUGAAGAACCGUAAUGCCAUUAAUUUGGUGCUGCGGGGAAACAGGACUGUUACUUUGAAAAAAUUAGAGUGUUUAAAGCAAGCUAACGCUUGAAUACAUUAGCAUGGAAUAAUGAAAUAGGUCGAUCGAUCCUAUUUUGUUGGUUUCUAGGAUUGACGUA